rnacentral:rRNA from 1 species
UACGGGGGGGAGCAAGCGUUGUUCGGAAUCAUUGGGCGUAAAGCGCGUGUAGGCGGUCAAGUAAGUCUUGUGUGAAAUCCCUGGGCUCAACCGAGGAAGUGCAUGGGAAACUACUUGGCUUGCAGACGGUAGAGGAAGGUGGAAUUCCAAGUGUAGAGGUGAAAUUCGUAGAUAUUUGGAGGAAUACCGGUGGCGAAGGCGGCCUUCUGGACCGAUCUGGACGCUGAGACGCGAAAGCGUGGGGAGCAAACAGG